CACUUUAAUCCUUUAACAAGUAUCAAUUGGAGGGCAAGUCUGGUGCCAGCAGCCGCGGUAAUUCCAGCUCCAAUAGCGUAUAUUAAAGUUGUUGCAGUUAAAAAGCUCGUAGUUGGUUCUGUGUGCCACACUGUUGGUUUACCGCAUGUCGGUGUAACUGAUAUGUCGUGGGACGUCCUGCCGGUGGUAAUUGCAGACCUCAUGGUAUUGUAAUUGCCUUUAAUUCUCAUCGCGGUGCUCUUUAUUGAGUGUCGAGGUGAGCCGGCACGUUUACCUUGAACAAAUUAGAGUGCUCAAGGCAGGCUAAAUUCUGCUUGAAUAUUUGUGCAUGGAAUAAUGGAACAGGACCUUGGUUCUAUUUUGUUGGUUUUCUGAAUCCAAGGUAAUGAUCAAUAUGGACGGUCGGGGGCAUUCGUAUUGCGGCGUUAGAGGUGAAAUUCUUGGAUCGUCGCAAGACGAACUAGAGCGAAAGCAUUUGCCAAGUACGUCCUAAUUGAUCAAGAACGAAAGUUAGAGGUUCGAAGGCGAUCAGAUACCGCCCUAGUUCUAACCAUAAACGAUGUCAGCCAGCGAUCCGUAGAGUUCUUUGAAUGACUCGACGGGCAGCUUCCGGGAAACCAAUACUUUAGGGUUCC
rnacentral:rRNA from 1 species